AAAAGUGCCUAACUAUUGUCCAACUCAAGUUGAUUCCUAAGAAGGUCAAGAACCUUUCUCUAUGUGGCUAUUGGAAUCACAUCAUGUGGUAUCUAGAGUUUAGGUUUUGUUUUGCUUAAUUUUUGAGUUGUGUUGCACUUUAUUUUCAAGAGCUCUUUAAUUCAAGUUGUUUACCAUUCUGUUUUAGGCUUUAUUUUGAGUUUCAUUGCUGUUUUUCUUUUUGUUACACCAAGUGUUUGUGAAAAGGUUUAUGGCACUCAUUAUUCAUAUGAGUAUGGUUGCUCUUUUGGAAUGGCAUUCUCCUUCCUUGAGCUGACCUUAAGCUUCCUUUCACUUGUUGUUAUAUCUUGUGAUAUGUCUUUUAAUUUUGUAAUCAUGUCAAGUUUUGUCUUAGUCAUGUUAUUCCAUAAUUGUCAUUACUUCUUGUAGUACUUUUAUUGCUUUGAUUGUUUCUUGCUUUGGUUUACUUUCUGUUUUGAGUUUAUUGCUUGAUCCUUUGUGCAUUUUCAUUUUUAGAUUUGAGUUCAUGCUUGUAUUCUAGUUCUAUACAAGUUCCUUUACACAAUUUCCAUUAUGUCUUUGCUAGUUCAUCAUACUGUUUUUCAUUCCUAAAUAGGCUCCUCUGUUUUCUUACAAACGUGCUACUGUUUUCAAUUUACUGCAAUUAAUUGGCUCACUGGAAAUUUGUGAAAAUUUGGAUUUAAAUUCUUCAAAGUGUUACAAAAGCAUAGCAAAAAGAAGUACAAAAAAAUUCCAAGUACACAAAAAAUGAUAAAUAAAAUACGAAAAGUGUACAUUACUGCCGAAAAAAAGACGGUAAUUGGGCAGCAAUUUUGAAAAAUUUAUUUCUCUCAAUUGGCUUACUUUUUUAGUUCGUUCCAGUGGCAUUAUUGAUUUGAGACAUUGAAGUAUCUGUGGUUAAUUUUUCACAUUCCAGUUCUCUUUCAAUCGUUCCAGUUAAAUCUGUAAACAUAGCACAGUUUGCAUACAACACUUUUUCUUGUAGUUCUGUUUUUGUUUCUUAAAUCUACUCUAGUACUUUUCUCUAGGACUCUUUUGGUGUGCCUUCUUUCCUCAUUGAGUUCUUUAUUUUCUUGCUUGUCUUUCAUUCCUUAAUCUUUGAGUUUGUCUUACAUAUAGUUUUCCUUUUGCAAUUACCUUUCUUUGCUUAUACCUUUUCUUGUUUGUCUUUAUUGUUUCAUUGGUUUUGUGGUGGUUGCCUUUGAGAUUGGUGUGCUUGCUUUGACAUCUUUCAUUUGAGGAUUCCAAGACCUCAAGAUCAGAUUGGUGCAAGGACAUUAUUUCUUUGAG
rnacentral:lncRNA from 1 species